rnacentral:rRNA from 1 species
AUUGAACGCUGGCGGCAGGCCUAACACAUGCAAGUCGAGCGGAUGAAGGGAGCUUUCUCCUGGAUUCAGCUGCGGACGGGUGAGUAAUGCCUAGGAAUCUGCCUGGUAGUGGGGGAUAACGUCCGUAAACGGGCGCUGAUACCGCAUACGUCCUGAUGGAGAAAGUGGUGGAUCUUCGGACCUCACGCUAUCAGAUGAGCCUAGGUCGGAUUAGCUAGUUGGUGUGGUAAAGGCCUACCAAGGCGACGAUCCGUAACUGGUCUGAGAGGAUGAUCAGUCACACUGGAACUGAGACACGGUCCAGACUCCUACGGGAGGCAGCAGUGGGGAAUAUUGGACAAUGGGCGAAAGCCUGAUCCAGCAAUGCCGCGUGUGUGAAGAAGGUCUUCGGAUUGUAAAGCACUUUAAGUUGGGAGGAAGGGCAGUAAGUUAAUACCUUGCUGUUUUGACGUUACCAAAAGAAUAAGCACCGGCUAACUUCGUG